AAACGCACACUUCUCUGUGUUUUUGAAAUUUUAUGCAUUGAAAUAAAUUGCUUUACAGCUUCUCUUGAUGACAGAAUUAAAACCAUUUUGCAAUGAAAAGAAAAAUUAUUGCGAUUGGAAUUUUUUUUCGUUUGUUUAUAAUUCACAUUCAUUUCUCUCAUCAUUGCUGUGAAAACCAUUUCAUCAACCCCCUUGUCUGUUUGAUUGCUCUGUUUUGCAUUUGAAUUUCCAUUCUUCAUACUUGUUUGUUCUUAAAAAAAAAAAAAAAGAAGAAUUGGAUUUUGUGUAACACUUUGCUAAUUUUAUUAUGUGCCUUUAUUAAAUUUUGCAUUCUUUGCUUCUUUUUUUCCAAUUUGCACUGUCCAUUAUUAUAAUCCUUAAUAUUCCUUUGUACUGUUAGUUUUAAUAUUGAUUAAUGUUUUAUUUUUCC